GACGAACGCUGGCGGCGUGCUUAACACAUGCAAGUCGAACGGAAAGGCCCUGCUUUUGUGGGGUGCUCGAGUGGCGAACGGGUGAGUAACACGUGAGUAACCUGCCCUUGACUUUGGGAUAACUUCAGGAAACUGGGGCUAAUACCGGAUAGGAGCUCCUGCUGCAUGGUGGGGGUUGGAAAGUUUCGGCGGUUGGGGAUGGACUCGCGGCUUAUCAGCUUGUUGGUGGGGUAGUGGCUUACCAAGGCUUUGACGGGUAGCCGGCCUGAGAGGGUGACCGGCCAACAUUGGACUGGGGUAACGCCCCGACUCCUUCCGGAGGGCGGAGUGGGGAAUAUUGCACAAUGGGCGGAAGCCUGAUGCAGCAACGCCGCGUGCGGGAUGACGGCCUUCGGGUUGUAAACCGCUUUCGCCUGUGACGAAGCGUGAGUGACGGUAAUGGGUAAAGAAGCACCGGCUAACUACGUG
rnacentral:rRNA from 1 species